GGCCCUCCUCCAUCGGGCCUCCUUACGGCCCGGAGGCCCUCGCUCUCCUUACCCGCCAGGGUGAGAACCAAGUCUGCGCGCUUCCAGAGGUUCGCCGGGUACGGAUUAGGGGCAAGGAAGGGGAAGGAGUUUCCAGAGAUCGUCCGCAGGGCCGCUCGGUCCGGAAAGCCCGAGCCACGGCCGUACAAACCGCCAAAGCACUUUCGCUACCUCUUGAGAGGGUGAGAGCGAGCGAGGAAAAAGAAGCAAGAUGGCGGCUAGCCAGCCCCUACGUGCUACGUCAUGACGCUGCGUACGUAUAGCAAAUCUCCGCAGGACCGCCCUCCUGGGUUGAGGCUGCGAGAUCACGUGACAGCCUCUGGCCCACGGCGGAGGGUAACGCUACCUCCUACUGGAAGGAGGGAGUUCCGUCAAUCAGAGCGAUCUCAGGGAGACAAAGCUUUUCACCUGCGAAGAUUCCAGAAGUCUUAAAUCAUCCAGAAUUACGUCUUGGUUUGUCUCCGUGCAUUGACACAACUGAUUGGAGGAGCAUAUAAAUUUACAAACUGCGCUUUGACAGAAUGUUCUUAAGUAGAGAGCAAAGUGAGGGUACAGUGUGGCAAUUUGAGAAGAUUGAAGUUUCAGAGUGAAAAAAGUAAUCCAAGUGUUAGGAACAAAGGGACCGGCAUGCUUUGCUGAGUCUAUCUUUGGCGUUUGUAAUUUUGGUGUAAAAUAAGGCACUGUUUAUUACUGACUUCUCAGGCAAAGUUUACCUCUUGAACCAACUACUUAACAGAGAAAACUAACAGUUACGAUUCACUCAUGCAGAUGUUUACUAGCACUUGGAUGGCCACCUGCCCUGAAGUGCCCCUGUGUGUUCCUUCCUCUGUUUCCAUAGCUACCUCUUAGCAAUGUUCUUUCAAUGAAAAUCAAAUCACAGUGGAGUCAGGUCAGUUUGUGCUUUAAAGAAAGCUGUAGGUACAACAAGUGUUUGAGACAUCAGGUUACAAAUAAAGCAAUCAGCGGAGCCGAGAGUGGUGGUACACCUCUUCCAUCCAAGCACCCUGCAGGCAGAGUCAGAUGCUGCAAGUCUGUAAAUGAAGACAAGAACAAUAUCGUCAUUGCUUCAAGGAAACACCUUUGGAGCUGGAGAGAUGACUCAUGGGUUCCUGCUCACUUCCAGUGACCCCAAGUUAUGUUUCUAGCACCCACACCAGACAACUCACACACCUUCGCAUGAUAUCCUAGGGAUCCUCUCUCUUGUGGACCAAGAGUGCCCAGAGCACAUGUGGCACAUUUGUGCAUACAUAUGCUCACACAUACACGUUCACACACAAACAUGCUCACACACACAAUAAGACACAGUGCAAAAAAGAAGCUGCCUUCUCAUACAUCUUAUGUGAAACAUUACAAUAUAUAUUUAACAUAUAAAUGUUUGCAAUUAUAUGUAAAGUAACAUAAUAUUUUUAUUUGCCAACCUAUUAUUAAUUAGCUAAAAAAACUUUAUAAUUGAAUAAAAGAUACAUUUUGGCUAAA